rnacentral:tRNA from 1 species
GCCAGGGUAGCUCAGCUGGUCAGAGCGUGGGACUCAUAAGCCCAAGGCCGUGGGUUCAAUCCCCACCCCUGGUA